GCGUAGAUAUCGGGAGGAACACCCGUUGGCGAAGGCGGCCCUUCUGGGCUGUUCCUGACGCUGAAGGCCGAGAGCCUAGGGGACCGAAACGGGAUUUAGAUACCCCGGUUAGUCCUAGCUGUAAACGAUUGGAUGCUGGGUUUGGGGGGUGUAAAUUCCCUCUGGGCCGAAGCAAAACGGCGUUAAGCAUCCCGCCUGGGGACUACGGCCGCAAGGCUAAAACUCAAACGAAUUGGACGGGGGCCCGCACAAGCAGCGGAGCGUGUGGUUUAAUUCGAUGCUACACGAAGAACCUUACCUGGGUUUGACAUGCACGUGGUAGGGAACCGAAAGGGGACCGACCUUCGGGAGCGUGCACAGGUGCUGGCAUGGCUGUCGUCAGCUCGUGCCGUGAGGUGUCGGGUUAAGUCCCGUAACGAGCGCAACCCUUGCCCUUAGUUACAAGUGUCUAAGGGGACUGCCCGGGACAACUGGGAGGAAGGUGGGGAUGACGUCAAGUCAGCAUGGCCUUUAUAUCCAGGGCUACACACACGCUACA
rnacentral:rRNA from 1 species